GCCCCAUCCAAGGCCUAUAUCAGAACCUCUGGCUGAGGCCUGGGAUUCUGUCCAUGUAAUGACAUUUCCAGGUGAUUCCUAAACACAUUAACAUUUAAGAACAGGAAAUGGGAGUAUAGGCAGAGGCUUGCAAAGAGGAAGGAGAAGUGAGAAAAAAGCUGAAAUUUGAGUCAUUUUAUUUAAAAUUGUAUUGGAGGGUGAGCAUAAGGGUUAACAUGGGAUUUGAGGAGUAAUGUGGAUUUAACUACAUUUGCCAACUAUUCUUCCUUCCUGUCUCUCAAUUUUUAUGACUUGGAUCUAGGUGCAGGUCUCUGUGUUCUCUUGCCUAGACUAGUUAGUGUGCAGGCAUCUUCACACAUUUUUUUUCCUGUCUGAGUCUCUACCUAGGCACCUUAUCCCUGCUGACAGCGGCAUUUCCUGAUCCUCCUCCUUAAUCAAGGAUUCCUCAGCCCUAGGACAGCCAGUCAGACUGGAGCCGUGACCUACAGCUUUCACCCAGAGUACCAUGAAAACUCUAUCAGUUCUGGGCUCCUGACUACAAAGAUGCCUGGUGACUCAAGUUAUGUCAAAUAACGGGGGAUUAACUGUGAGGACACAAGUGGAAAGACA
rnacentral:lncRNA from 1 species